rnacentral:rRNA from 1 species
GGACGAAAGUCUGACGGAGCAACGCCGCGUGAGUGAAGAAGGUUUUCGGAUCGUAAAACUCUGUCGUUUGGGACGAACGUGCUUUGGGUAAAUAAUUUAAAGUAAUGACGGUACCAAAGGAGGAAGCCACGGCUAACUACGUGCCAGCAGCCGCGGUAAUACGUAGGUGGCAAGCGUUGUCCGGAAUUAUUGGGCGUAAAGGGCGUGUAGGUGGAUUCUUAAGUCGUGUGUCUAAGUGCGGGGCUCAACCCCGUAUGGGCGCAGGAAACUGGGGAUCUUGAGUGCAGGAGAGGAAAGUGGAAUUCCCAGUGUAGUGGUGAAAUGCGUAGAUAUUGGGAGGAACACCAGUGGCGAAGGCGACUUUCUGGACUGUGUCUGACACUGAGGCGCGAAAGUUAGGGGAGCGAACGGGAUUAGAUACCCCGGUAGUCCUAGCCGUAAACGAUGGGUACUAGGUGUAGGAGGUAUCGACCCCUCCUGUGCCGGAGUUAACGCAAUAAGUACCCCGCCUGGGGAGUACGGCCGCAAGGUUGAAACU